rnacentral:rRNA from 1 species
GACGAACGCUGGCGGCGUGCUUAACACAUGCAAGUCAAGGGGAACGCCUUUCUUCGGAGAGGUUAGUAUACUGCGAACGGGUGAGUAACGCGUAGGCGACCUGCCUUCAAGCCUGGGAUAACACUGCUAACGCGGUGCUAAUACCGGAUGAUGCAUACAUUUUGCAUGGGAUGUAUGUUAAAGCGGGCUUUAUAGCUCGUGCUUGAAGAUGGGCCUGCGUCCCAUUAGUUAGUUGGCGGGGUAACGGCCCACCAAGGCGACGAUGGGUAGCCGACCUGAGAGGGUGAUCGGCCACACUGGGACUGAGAUACGGCCCAGACUCCUACGGGAGGCAGCAGUGAGGAAUAUUGCACAAUGGGCGAAAGCCUGACGCAGCAACGCCGCGUGCGGGAUGAAGCUUUUAGGAGUGUAAACCGCUGUUAGAAGGGACGAAUAAGGUAAUUUCGAACAGGGAUUACUGAUGACGGUACCUUCAGAGGAAGCCCCGGCUAACUCCGUGCCAGCAGCCGCGGUAACACGGGGGGGGCGAGCGUUGUCCGGAAUUAUUGGGCGUAAAGGGCGCGCAGGCGGGCUGAUCAGUCAGGGGUGAAAGUUUGCGGCUUAACCGUAAAAUUGCCUUUGAUACUGUCAGUCUUGAGUUCGGAAGAGGGAAGUGGAAUUCCUGGUGUAGCGGUGAAAUGCGUAGAUAUCAGGAAGAACACCGGUGGCGAAGGCGGCUUCCUGGUCCGAAACUGACGCUGAGGCGCGAAAGCGUGGGUAGCGAACAGGAUUAGAUACCCUGGUAGUCCACGCAGUAAACGAUGGAUACUAGGUGUUGGAUGGCGACGUUCAGCGCCGUAGCAAACGCAUUAAGUAUCCCGCCUGGGGAGUACGAUCGCAAGAUUGAAACUCAAAGGAAUUGACGG